GAUGAAGAACGUAGCGAAGUGCGAUAAGUAAUGUGAAUUGCAGAAUUCAGUGAAUCAUCGAAUCUUUGAACGCACCUUGCGCCCUUUGACUAUUCCGAAGGGCAUGCCUGUUUGAGUAUCAUGAAAACCUCAACUCUCAUGGCUUGCCAUGAUGAGCUUGGACUCUGGGGGUCUUGCUGGCUUUACGGUCAGCUCCUCUCAAAUAAAUCAGCUUGCCGGUGUUUGGUGGGAUCACAGGUGUGAUAACUAUCUACGCUUGUGGUUUUCCGCCAGGUAACCUUCAGCAAUGGAGGUUCGCUGGAGCUCAUAAAUGUCUCUCCUCAGCGAGGACAGAUUUUGACCGUUUGAUCUCAAAUCAGGUAGGACUACCCGCUGAACUUAAGCAUAUCAAUAAGCGGAGGA
rnacentral:misc_RNA from 1 species